GCCCUUCCCUUGCACUGGGUGAAUAUCCCUUCAUCUUUUCCGAGUCAGUGCAGGCACUGCCUCUCGGGAGAUAUUCCUUAGCCAGGGGCAGGGCGAGGAGGGCCUCUUCCACAGCCUGAGAACAUCAAGUUAAUUUUACAUGUGGCUAGGCUGGGUGCCCAGUUGUUUGGCCAAACGCUAAUCUCUUGAUAGAUGUUGCUGUGAGCCACACAGCAACACAUCUACAAUCUGUUGACUUUAGCAGAUUACCCUCCUUAUUGUGGGCAGGUCUUAUCUAAUCAGUUGAAGUUUUCAGAGAAAAACGGAAGUUUCCCAGAGAAGAAGGAAUUCUGCUUCAAGACUGUUAUCACAGAAAUCCUGCCUGGGUCUCCAGCCUGCCAGCCUGCCCUGCAGAUUUUGGACUUGCCAGCCUCCACAAUCAAGAGUUCUACAAAUGCUGGGUUCUUCCCCACGCCCUGACCCAUCUCACCUCCAGGACAGUCCCGCCUCCUCCCUGGGGUGGCCUCCAGGCUGCGCAGAGAAGGCCCAGGAGCACUGAGGUCCCUCCAGCCCUAUGACAGCGAGGACUGUUCUGAAAGCGCUUCCCCUCCUGCUCUCCCAGGCCUGGGGCACCGAGACCCAUCCUGGGAGCCACACCUCUGCCUCUACAAGCUGAGGGGUUCCCUCGGAGAAAGCCUCUCCCCUGUGUUUCAACUCUCACCUCCGUGCUGAUGCCACCAGACCCACGCCUCUACCUGGGCCCUGCAACGUUCCCUAGACGUCAGACCUUCAAUCAGUCAGCACAACCCCAAGGAUCACUCGGCUCCUUGGAGCCAGCCACUGCUGCCAGCUCCCUCCUCUCUGCUGUCCCAGUUUUCCAGCCUCCUCUCCAGGACUCCAGGGCCAGCCAAGGCAGGCCCGCUGUCUCCACAGCCGGGGCCAUGCCAGACAACCAUGAGGCCGCGUGUGAACCUGGCCUUCCUCCCCAUGCUCAGCCCUGCCCCAGGGUCCCACGGUCUCCCUGAGCCCUCCCCCGGCCAGGAGGCCAGGCUCCCACAGAGGAGGGAGGUCUGGGGGCUCUUCAUCCACCUCUGGUCCUCACCUUCACAUCAAGGCCCGCCCUGGGGCCACGCAGAAAGGGAGCCCGUCCCCAGGGCUGUGUCGGCAUCCUGCAGGCGGUGCCACCAGGUCUGUAGCCAACUGUCCUGGUGACCGAUUCAGGAACUGCCUGACCUGUGAUGAACAGCUUCCUCUGGUCUGAUGGAGACCCUUCCCGAACAGCCUCCCCUCUCAAAGGAGGAGCCCAGAGUAAGCCGGUGUCGUGCAUGGUGGUUCUUUUUUACACAUUUAGAGCGCGGGGGAAAAUGAAAACAUCCACAUUCUCCCUUCCUCAAAUAAACCGACUUCCCUA